rnacentral:tRNA from 1 species
GGAGGGGUGCGGGAGCGGUUUAACCGGGCGGUCUUGAAAACCGCUAAGGGCGCAAGCUCUUCGUGGGUUCGAAUCCCACCCCCUCCG